ACGUUCCAGAGCCUUUGUUUUGCCUC
rnacentral:sRNA from 1 species